rnacentral:rRNA from 1 species
GCGAACGGCUGAGUAAUACGUAGGAACUUGCCCCAAAGUGAGGGAUAACUCCGGGAAACCGGAGCUAAUACCGCAUGUGAUCUAAGGAUUAAAGCCUUCGGGCGCUUUGGGAGAGGCCUGCGUUCGAUUAGCUAGUUGGUGAGGUAAUGGCUCACCAAGGCUGCGAUCGAUAAUUGGUCUGAGAGGAUGACCAGUCAGACUGGAACUGAGACACGGUCCAGACUCCUACGGGAGGCAGCAGUAAGGAAUCUUCCACAAUGGGGGCAACCCUGAUGGAGCAACGCCGCGUGCAGGAUGAAGGCCUUCGGGUUGUAAACUGCUUCUAUGAGUGAAGAAUUUGACGGUAACUCAUGAAUAAGGAUCGGCUAACUCCGUGCCAGCAGCCGCGGUCAUACGGAGGAUCCGAGCGUUGUCCGGAAUUACUGGGCGUAAAGAGUUGCGUAGGUGGUUUGUAAAGCAAAUAGUGAAAUCAAGUGGCUCAACCAUUUGGCUAUUAUUUGAACUCACAAACUUGAGAACAUGAGAGGUAGAUGGAAUUCCCAAUGUAGGAGUGGAAUCCGUAGAUAUUGGGAGGAACACCGAUGGCGUAGGCGGUCUACUGGCAUGUUUCUGACACUGAUGCACGAAAGCGUGGGGAGCGAACCGGAUUAGAUACCCGGGUAGUCCACGCCGUAAACGAUGGAUGCUAGCUGUUGGCCGUAUCGACCCGGUCAGUAGCAAAGCUAACGCGUUAAGCAUCCCGCCUGGGGAGUACGGUCGCAAGAUUAAAACUCAAAGGAAUUGACGGGGACCCGCAC